rnacentral:lncRNA from 1 species
AGCCGUCCUUGGGCCAACUCUGAGUCCUCCGCACCUCCGGGGCCCCGCGGCGCGCCCUGAGGGAGCGCAGGACUCCGUCUCGCCCUUCUGCCUUCACUGCAGGGCCUGAGGCCCGCUGGGCUCGGGGUUCCCGCCCCUCCCUCCGGGUGCCGACUUCGCGGGGCGCUGGGCGUCUCCACUUCUGCCUGCGCCCCACGACCGACUUGGCGCAGAUGUUGCUGCCCGGGUGGGCGCUGUGUUCACCUCUGCUCUCCCCGCCCAGUCCCCUCCUGCCGCUGCCGGCCCCGAGAGACAGGCGCAGAGCACCUCGUGUGAGUGACAGCUGUGCUCUGUCCACUUGACUGGACCGAGAAACACCAGGAGACUGGCACAGCACAAUUGUGCGUGUGGCUGGUGGGCCGUGGAUCUGCAACCUUGGGUUCUGUGUAUGGUUCCACACCCUCCCACCACGAUGUUCCCACCUCGGAGCCCGGUGACCAUGGACUGAAUACCCUGAAACCUUGAG